AAGUGCAUUUUGAGCCCAUAACCAAAAGUUCUCCAAUCACUUUGCGCCAGUAUUUUUACAGUAAUUACUUAAAAGUGUAACUAUAUCGGUAGCCUGAUCACACCGUUAAUCUAUGCUCGAAUCAAUCCGCCUAGCCGUUAGCCAAUCAGAGCGCGUCCUUCAGGUACGCUCUUCCACUUCAGAAGCGGAAAGAGGAGUACAACAACAAACAUGGCGGCCCCCAUGGAGCAGAGCGUUCCCGUUGGAUCAGACAGAAAACGCAAGAAAAAUGUGGAUUAUAUAUGCAUCACACACAUAUCAUCGAUGGACAAAGAACGGACACAGUUGUUCGUUGGAAGAAGCUGGUUGUAUGUGGCCGUAAGUGGCUAGAAAUUGACGGAAUCGACCGCGCGUUGGCAGAGGCUGUAUGUGUACACGAUGAGUCCGCCAGAAAUAACAAUGACGAUUCCACGUCAACCCUGGCUUGUUCAGAAGACUCUUUCUGGCUUCUUGGGGGGAAAAAACUUGGUUUUCAUCCAACUUGUUAUAGGCGUUUCAUCGAUAAGAAACGAAUUGCCAGUGCUGAAAAACUAGCAGAAAAACGGGGAGCAUGUGAUGGUGACAACAAUGGUUCUGAUUCUGAUCACGAGUCUUCCACAAACACGUCCACGACAAGCCGGCCAUACUCUGCAUAACGGUUGAGAUCCACGACUAAAUCAUUGAGGUCUGGCAAUGUACUACCUGCUGUCUGUAUAAUUUGCAAGAGGGCUGACCGCUUUGUGAAAGAAGGACACAAGACAAAGAAAGAUAAAUUGGUCCAAGCAGAAACUAUAAAUGCUGGGAGUUUGGUUAAAGCAACUGAACUGCAAACGGAUGAAUCCAUCCUCAAGGUUGUAAGUGGAAAAGAUGCUACAAAGAAUAUACAAGAUUUCUGGGGGCUACAACAAGUGAUGAAAGGAUGCCAGAAGCCUGGGAGUAUGCCACUGUGUACACAGAAUGAAUUUUGUGAAUUUGGGCACAGUUGAUUAAAAAACAAGAAAUCUUCAGGAUGAAAAAGCUCUCCUCCCUGUUCCAGAAAAUGAUACGAGAACACCAUGGUCAAGGAAGUGACAGAUCAGAUCUUCUGAAGAAAAGACUGAGGCAAGACUUUUCCCAACUAAAUUUCUACAAGCCUCGGAGGAAAAACCUGAGUGAAAUGGUAUUUACACAAGCUACAGGACUUCUCAACAAGGGUUCAUCAACUGAAACUGAGUCAUCAGGAUCGCAAGAGACUUUGUCGAGUGGUGGAGAGACAGUUCAGAAAAGUGGUACAUAUGCAGCACAAUGAGGCUGUACCAGAACCAUUUAUAGUGCAGGUAUAACUCUUAAACAAGCAGUUAAGAGUGCCCCUAACAUCAGUGCCAAUUGGCCUCCUACAUCUGAGGAUCUAAAUAUUUCCUCAGCUAGAAAGAUUGUGCCAAUUGAACUGUAUAAUUCACUUGCUUGGUGCAUAGGUGUAAGUGAUGAGUUGACAUUAUCUAAGAAGGUUAAUGUUAAUUUUAAUAAAAGUAAUUGUUUAAAAACAGAAAUGUCUUUGUGCCUAGUUUUCAUUGUUCAAAUUUUAGCUGUGUUUCAGUGAUUUCCUAAAAUUUUGCGUCCAAUAUUGUAACUGGUCUGCUAGGUGAUAAAAUUCACACCACUUUUCAUAAUAAUUAGUUAACCAGACACAAAAGGAUAUCUUGCUAUUAGAGUUUUUCAAUUGAAAAUUCAAAGAAUUGCAGUUUUCAUGUGCAAUAAAGAUAUAUUUUGGGAGAUUG